ACACUCCUACGGGAGGCAGCAGUGGGGAAUUUUGGACAAUGGGCGAAAGCCUGAUCCAGCAAUGCCGCGUGAGUGAAGAAGGCCUUCGGGUUGUAAAGCUCUUUUGUCAGGGAAGAAACGGUGAAAGCUAAUAUCUUUUGCUAAUGACGGUACCUGAAGAAUAAGCACCGGCUAACUACGUGCCAGCAGCCGCGGUAAUACGUAGGGUGCAAGCGUUAAUCGGAAUUACUGGGCGUAAAGCGUGCGCAGGCGGUUUUGUAAGUCUGAUGUUAAAUCCCCGGGCUCAACCUGGGAAUUGCAUUGGAGACUGCAAGGCUAGAAUCUGGCAGAGGUGGGUAGAAUUCCACGUGUAGCAGUGAAAUGCGUAGAUAUGUGGAGGAACACCGAUGGCGAAGGCAGCCCCCUGGGUCAAGAUUGACGCUCAUGCACGAAAGCGUGGGGAGCAAACAGGAUUAGAAACCCUUGUAGUCCCAUGA
rnacentral:rRNA from 1 species